rnacentral:rRNA from 1 species
GACUACCAGGGUAUCUAAGCCCGUUCGCUCCCCACGCUUUCGUGCCUCAGUGUCAGAAAUGGGCCAGUCACCUGCCUACGCCAUUGGUGUUCCUCCCUAUAUCUACGGAUUUCACUCCUACACAGGGAAUUCCAGUGACCUCUCUCAUUCUCGAGUUUGCCAGUUUGAAUAAUAGCCUUAUGGUUGAGCCACAAGAUUUCACUAUUCACUUAACAAACCACCUACGCAACUCUUUACGCCCAGUAAAUCCGGAUAACGCUUGGAUCCUCCGUAUGACCGCGGCUGCUGGCACGGAGUUAGCCGAUCCUUAUUCAUAAGUUACCGUCAUAUUCUUCACUUAUAAAAGCAGUUUACAAUCCGAAAACCUUCAUCCUGCACGCGGCGUUGCUCCAUCAGGCUUGCGCCCAUUGUGGAAAAUUCCUCACUGCAGCCCCCCGUAGG